AGAGUUUGAUCCUGGCUCAGAACGAACGCUGGCGGCGUGCCUAACACAUGCAAGUCGAACGGGAUUUGAGAGCUUGCUCUUAAAUUUAGUGGCGCACGGGUGAGUAACGCGUAGAUAAUCUGCCUGACGAUCUGGGAUAACACUUCGAAAGAGGUGCUAAUACCGGAUAAGCCCACGGGGUCUUUGGACUCUGCGGGAAAAGGGGGGGACCUUCGGGCCUUCUGUCGUCAGAUGGGUCUGCGUACCAUUAGCUAGUUGGUGGGGUAAUGGCUCACCAAGGCAACGAUCGGUAGCUGGUCUGAGAGGAUGAUCAGCCACACUGGUACUUAGACACGGACCAGACUCCUACGGGAGGCAGCAGUGGGGAAUAUUGCGCAAUGGACGAAAGUCUGACGCAGCAACGCCGCGUGGGUGAAGAAGGCCUUCGGGUCGUAAAGCCCUGUCAGGUGGGAAGAAACCUGCGAAUAGCAGCUGACGGUACCACCAAAGGAAGCACCGGCUAACUCCGUGCCAGCAGCCGCGGUAAUACGGAGGGUGCAAGCGUUGUUCGGAAUCACUGGGCGUAAAGGGCGCGUAGGCGGCCGUACAAGUCUGAUGUGAAAGCCCGAGGCUUAACCUCGGAAGUGCAUUGGAAACUGUACGGCUUGAGUUCGGGAGAGGAGGGCAGAAUUCCUGGUGUAGGGGUGAAAUCCGUAGAUAUCAGGAGGAAAACCAGUGGCGAAGGCGGCCCUCUGGAACGAAACUGACGUUGAGGCGCGAAAGCGUGGGUAGCAAACAGGAUUAGAUACCCUGGUAGU
rnacentral:rRNA from 1 species